UAGAGUGCCAUCCCUAAUUAUUUAUUUACCACCAUUAUACUACCUAGCUACUCUUAGGGUUGACAAUUUAAGGACUUACUCUUCCGAAACGAAAGCAUCUCCAUUUUAAAUUUUCGGGUGAGACGUGGGUCAUUUAAAAAGGGAUAAAUCUGCCACAAAUUUGACCAGUUUGGAAGGACUAUAGCGGUACAUUCUACGCAAUCAACCAGGGCGUCUUAUAUCCAGUCAUAAUGUCGACGGCUGCCACAACCACUACAACGACGCUAUCAACACCCCGUCAAAAUGGAAAUCAGAAUAACGCUAUAGAGACACAAGCUCCGUCUCAGAGAAAAGUUGAAAUGGCGGAUUCUGGAAGGAAGGCUGAGGAACAGACGGGGACAAUUGGUUUAAUGGAUGGCAAGAAGAAUUAUAAACGACAACCUCAAAAACCGCAGAAAUCCAGAAGCUGUUCAUCAUCCAGACUGUGGAUAUUUUUUACAGUUUUAUUUUUUCUUACAACAGUUGGGAUUUUAGCAGCCUUUAUAUGGAGACAUUCAUUUUAUGACAAAUGUGAAGGUGGAAACCAGACACAAGUGCCCCAAAGAUAUCGCGGAUUUUUUAGAACCCCAGAACAACAGGAGAAGUUCGCUCUGGAAGAAUAUGAAAGACAAAAGACAGAAUCCAGAAUUGCCAAUCAAACGGUUUACAACAACGCCAGUUGUAAUAUAUUUUGCAAAAGAGCAUUAAAUGAAACACCUGCAAGACAGUCAGGUCCAACACAGGGUUUUCAAACGUCGGGCGGCGUAACGCUUGGUCCCAUAUCGUUUAACGGAUGCUGUCAAUCGCAAACGUAUUUCCAAUCUCCAGCUACCGCUGAAGGUAUAGACGGCCUAAUCAAAGUAUUGGUUGUUGACGGCAAUCGACGACAGUUUUUCAGAACAGAAGAUUGCAAACGCGCAGCCGGAUGUACCGGGUGUACGUGCACGAGAAUAAUAGAGAGUUUUACAGCACUGAUAGAAAAUACCGAUGUCGAUGACGAUGAUGAAAACAGAUUCGAAAUAACGGCUAUCAAGUUGUUGGGGUGCUGUAAAUGUCUAAAUACAGGAUUCUCAGGACGAAGAUAAUCCGAACAUGUGAGCAUAAAUGUCAGUCCUCGAACAAAACAAGUAAACAAUAAAAUGGCGCUAGUAUUAAGAUAACGAACAAAUAAAUAUAUUUAUCAAAUAACGCCAAUACCGCCAAUAUAUUACUGUUAAAAUGACUUCUAUAUUAAGAUGACGUCAAAUGACAUCAGUGACGUGUGAGCAAUAAAACGAUCCGUCUGCUAUUUAACUGUUAUGGUUGAAAUGACAUCAGUGACGUGUGAGUGAUAGUAUGACGAAAGUUAUGGAAUGACAUAGGCCUAUAUUUAACUGUUAUGGCUAAAGUGACGUCAGUGAUUGAUGUACGGAAUUUCGGCUAUUUCGGACAUACGAAACUGUAUUAUGGUCAGAUAUUUGUGAUGUUUGUAGCAGAGGAUGUUUAUCUUUUCACGAAUACCUGGUGUAGGCGAUCUUUCCAUUGUGAGCUUAUGGUCAGGUAACAAACCCACUGGACGCCGCAGUAUAACUCCAUUUCCUGGUUGGAUUUUACUUUGACCACAUUGUUUUCAUCGAAUGUGCUUUGAAUUAAAUGAAGAUGUGGCUUGGGCAAAGCGGCAUGUCCACAUAUGGCAAACAAGAUGCCGCCUUGUCUGUUUAAGCACAUGAGAAACUAUAAACCUCCCUAUUAACAUUGAAGGAGGGUGUUUUCUAUAUUUCAUGUGAAAUCGUGUAUGUUUGAGUCCACAGCUUUAUAUCAAUAUAUUGUAAAUACAGCGCGUGUAUCUGGUGUGAACGAAGAAUACUAGUUAUCGUUUUUCAAUUUAUUUAAGAUUAUAUUAUUAAAGGUCCAUUAUGUAAGAUCUAAAUCUACCUAUAGCAGGCUUCAAAUGUUAUACAAAUUAAUAUUUAGACAUUUAUUUACGCACACAUAGCUUCGCUUAGAAUAAAGUAAUUGAACUUUUUAACUCAUUAUCUAUUUUUUUUAACUAUUAUAACAUUAAGAACGGUCAGACAUUAAUCUAAUUCUUACAUAAUGUAUCUUGUAAGUCAUUCUGAGUUGUACAUAUUGUCUAACUAAUUCUUUACCAGUUAUCAGUUCCGACGAAAUGGGGUUUAACGUUCUAGUGUUCUGUUCCGACUGGGCUAUAACGGUCAUACGCCAUACAGUGUGCUGUGAGGGAAUUUUUGCCCAGACAGCCACACUACGGCCUACUCUAAUAUCAAAUGCCAACUGUCAAGGAUUCUUUUACGUGCACGCCAAUGUGUACACUGGACCUCGGUUUGUCGUGCUAUCCCAAUUCCAACUGCCAAGGCUCAUCUCUUAUCAAUACGACGCCAUUAUAUUGAGUUCCAUACUUCAUUAUGAAUGUAGACGUGACAAGGAGUAGGGUCGCAUGUCCAACCUCGUGGGUUUUCUCCGGGUCUUCCGGUUUCCUCCCACUGCUAAAGAACCCUGCGCGUAAGAGAAUUAAUGACAUAAAAUUGAACCAUAUGUUACUCGGAACUGUAAUGAAACCCAAAGAUGUGAUAUCAAAUUCCAAAAUAAAUAGGAUAAGCAAUUGUAAUAUUCCAAACAAAACACAUUCCAUAACGAUCAGAAAUUUAUUGGUCAUACUAGUGCUUCUUUGGAUACCAUUUUAUUAGUGUAAGUUUUCGAAUGUUGUAAAUUUAAACGGCUUUUUAUUUUAAGUUCGUGUAUUAAUAAACCCGUGGCUGUGUAUUAUAAUGUAAUUAAUAAAUAGGCAUGUCCUUGUGUAUUGUAUGCGUUGGCCGUGAAAAUUCGUCGGGAUUUUUCGGUGUGAUCCACGUGGCGCAGAAGGGCAAACAAGUGUAUAUUAUAUUAUGUACAUAUGGAAUUAAUUAAAAAGCAUGUUUCAAUGAAUCCUUUAAGAUGAAUAAAGAACUACUUAACCUAGCUGAUGUUCAGCCCGAGUGAGUGUACUCACCGGAAGUUGUGUUUAGACAAUAGAAGUAGGAGAUAUCAUAUUUAUUGCUUGUGAUUGGUUUAUAUUAUAUUUUGUAUAUUUAGUUAUUUAUCGAGACUAAUCACAACGCGAAUGUAUUCUGAAAAACAUUUUUUUUUAAAAAAUAUAUAACAAACCCCAAAACAAUGUAAAUUUGUAAAUGGACAUACAGCUGUACAGCUCAAUAUUAAAAAUUUGUGACAGGAGUCAUAAUCUUUAUCCUUGGAGUUACUUCCCCUGAAUAGCGUUGUUCACCAUAGUGUGUAUCCCAUACGCUAAAACGUGUUGAAAUCAGUUCAAGUCAUUUAAAGGGAGACAAUCCAUCGUUGAUUUUGUUUUUAAAUUAGCCAUUAAAUAGGCUAAAGUAAAGUGUUUAUUCAGAAGUAUACAUGAACAGUAAAACCGAGAGAUAUUAUUCUACUUAAUAAAAUUAACAGUUUUAAUAUUUUAUUUCAUAGUUUUAUCACCUAGUAUUAUAAUAUACUAAUUUUUAUUUUUAUUAAAAUAUUAUGGAAUUUGACCAAAUAAAAAAAUAUCAU